GUGGGGAAUAUUGCACAAUGGGCGCAAGCCUGAUGCAGCAACGCCGCGUGAACGAUGAAGGUCUUCGGAUUGUAAAGUUCUGUCCUUGGGGAAGAAGAAUGUGACGGUACCCUUGGAGGAAGCCCCGGCUAACUACGUGCCAGCAGCCGCGGUAAUACGUAGGGGGCGAGCGUUAUCCGGAAUUAUUGGGCGUAAAGAGUACGUAGGUGGUUUUGUAAGCGCGGGGUGAAAGGCAGUGGCUUAACCAUUGUUAGCCUUGCGAACUGCAAGACUUGAGUGCAGGAGAGGAAAGCGGAAUUCCUAGUGUAGCGGUGAAAUGCUUAGAUAUUAGGAGGAACACCAGUGGCGAAGGCGGCUUUCUGGACUGUAACUGACACUGAGGUACGAAAGCGUGGGGAGCAAACAGGAUUAGAAACCCUAGUAGUCC
rnacentral:rRNA from 1 species